rnacentral:lncRNA from 1 species
UCUUUUUCUUCUGAAUUAACCAUACAUCCAUCUUGUAGGUAUAGAAGGGAUGGAGAUGAAUAGAUGCUCUGACCUCCAAACUCUUGUAUCUGAAGUUGACACCCAGGUGUACUCGAAUAUAGUUAACUAUUGAACUUCCAUUAUUGUUAAUAGUCCAUUUUGUAUGCGGAGGUUGUACAAAUUAGGAAGAACUUUCUUUGUGUCUCUAUGGAAUGUAAAACGUGACUUAACUGCUUUCUUAAUGAUGGUAUCAUCUUCAGCCCUAAACUUCCCUAACUUUAUUUUCUAGAUGUAACUCGGAUAUAUGGACAUUACAUCUUGUCACUAUUUAAGAUUCUCAUUGCUUUACUAUCUAGCUGUUUAAAUAAAGUAAAUUUGAAAUUUCCUCCAUCAAUAUCUAGAUUUGUACAGUAAUCUACUAGUUGAUUACCUUCCCUCAUUAUAUGCAUGAAUUUAACCUCCUUUGUUUAUAAUAAUGUGAUAAUUUACUCUUUAAUAUCUAGCAAAAUCCAUGGGCAUUGCCACUCAUUAGUCAAUACUUUUAACAAAACCAUCGAAUCUAUCUAAAUGAUGAUAUUAUUAAAGUUUGAUUGACUACAAUGAAUUGCUGCCCUAAGAAUAGCUUGUGCCUCAGCAUCACUAGUAGUUGAAUCCUCCACUAUUGCUCCUUCUGCUUGUAUUAGAUCCCUUAUUUCAUCCCUUAAACAGUAUGCCCAUGAGCUAAUUCCUGGGUUACCCCUAGAACCUCCAUCUAUGUUAUACUUUAUCCAUCCUCUCUCUAGGAAUUUAAACUCUACCUUUGUGAACUUAACCUGCAUUCUUCUUCUUUCCAAUUCCCUCUGAAUAUCUGUCCACUUAAAAGGGAAAACAUGUUCUAGAUUCCUCACAGAAAGUAAUAAUCCAAUAUUUCUAAUGAUAUUAAAAAUUACUUUAUGAGUAGAUAAUUAUUUCCCUUCAUGUUUUGACCUAUUCUUUCUUUUCCAUAACUCCCAUUGUAUCAUACUAGGAAUAGUAUUAUAGUAAGCUUUUGCUCUGCCAUGAUUAAUUGUACUCCACAAAGUUAAAAUUAACUCCCUUAGACUAUGUCCAUUUAAAUUAAUGCCUGCAAAAGAAGAAAAAUAGGACCAGGUCCUGUUAGCAGUAAUAGACCUGAGUAACAUAUGAGAAAGUGUUUCUUGAUCCUGAAUGGUGGAACACCAACAUCUUGUAGGGCCCUCUAUACCCCAUCUUCUCAUGUUUUCCUCCACUGCAAUUUUUCCUCUCCACAUCAGAAAGGCCAUCUUGAAAGGCAAGCCUUUGACCCAUAUAUUCUUGUAUAAUCCAUUUACUUCCUCCCUCUGUCUUAUGUAAUUCCAUAUUGAGCUUACAGUAAAGUUACCUACUGGUUCCAAUUUCUAUAUAGGACUAUCUUUCUCCUCAGUUUGGGUGGGUAUUCUAAUAUUCUAAAUAAUAUGGUCCACCACCUCAGUAGGAAAUAAUUGAUUAAUAGCAUGCAUCUUCCACUAUCCCUCAUUAAUUAGAUCCUGCACUUGUUGAUACUCUAUUUCUCCCUAUCUUGUACUUCCAUCAUAUUAUAUAAAUCCCCUUCCUUAACUUAAUUAUCCAACCAAUUAUUGGAAUUACCAUUUCUGAUCCUCCAAUAUAUUUGAUGUUCCACCGGGUCCCUUGCUUGAAGCAUUUUCUUUUAUACCUUUAAGCCUGCUCCUAGUUUUCAUACAACUUCAUUAAGAUGUAAUGUCUUACAGUAUUUGCUCUACAUAUAUCUACUCCAGAUUGUUUCCUUGGUUCUGAAAUCCCACCAUAAUUUUCAAAACAAUGCCAUAGAAAUAUCCUGAAUCUUUCUGAAACCUAACCCACCUUCAUCUCUGGUAAACAAAGCUUAUUCUAUUUCACCCAAUUCCUACUUUUAUCUCCAAUAUGACUACACCAAAAAAAUUAUGCAAACAUUCUUUGAAUCAUAGUCAUCAUAUUCUGAGGAGGGUUCAUCAUAGAUAAAAAAAUGAAUAGGUAUGCUUUGUAAAACAUGCUUUAUAAAAACAACCCUUCCUCCAUAAGAUAGUAGUUUACCUUUCUAUCCCUGUAAUUUUUCAUUAAUUUUGCUCAUUAUUCUUUGAUAAUAGUCUCUCUUUUUCCUCAUAUGAAAGAUAAGACAUCCCACAUAUGUGAAAGGAAAAUCCUUUCUAAGAAUUCCAGUAACUACCUCAGCCAUUGUCACAUUCCCCUGAGAAACUCCUCUAUAAAGGUAAAUGGAGCUCUUUUAUUUAUUUACCUUCUAUCCAGAUAUUCUUUCAUAUCUCUCUAAAGAUAUAGUCACCAACUAUAUUGUGUGAACUUCUUCUUUGUAUAGGAUUAUCAUAUCAUCUGUAAAUACAAAAUGAUUUACCUUAGGCCUACCUCUUGGUAAUCCAAACAUCUUGAAAUCAUUUGAUUGCAUCAAAGGUUUCAAAUAUCUGUACAUAACCUCAAUUUCAAUAAUAAAAAAAGUCGGUGACAGGAGAUCCCCUUGCUUCAAUCCUUUAGUAGAUCUGAAGAAUCCUUUUGGUUGUCCAUUUAAUAAAAUAGAGUACCAAUUAUUUCCUACCAGCCUGUAAACCAUGUUUAUUAGUCUCUCCUCAAACCCUACUUUCCUUAACACUUUGGUAAGAAACAACCAAUCAACUUUAUCAUAUGCCUUUAUAAUGUCUAACUUAAUCACCAAAAUUGGGACUUUCCUUCUUUUUCUGAUCUCUGCUACUAUUUUUUGCACCAUCAAUAUGUUUUCUUCUAUACUCCUGCCCUGUACAAAACCUGUUUGUUCCUAAGAAAUUAUAUCUGGUAACACUGAUAUGAUCCUCUCAUACAGAAUUCUUGAAAAUAUCUUAUUUAAGAAAUUACUGAGAGAAAUAGGUCUCAUGUCUAAAAAUGUGUUGACCUCUAACUUUUAAAGUAAAAGUACUACAUUUGUAUGAAUAAAAAAUUUAGACAACUCAUACACACAAAAGAAAGCUACAACCAUGUUGAAAAUAUCUUGAUCUAUAAUUUCCCAUGCAUCCUGAAAAAAAGCACCUGUCAUACUAUCUGGACCUCCUGUACUAGUCCUGCUCAGCCCCAUUACUGCCUGUUUAACUUCUGUAAUAUCAGGAAUUCUCUAUAAUUUAUCAUUCUACUAUUUUGAAACCACUGUGGGCAAUUUAUUUAGUAUAUCAAAGUCAGUGUUUUGCUCUUCUUUAGAAAAAUGCCUCCAGAAAAAUUAGACUGCCACUUCUGCAAUUAUGUUUUGAUCUUCUAUCCAUUCCUCCUCCUCAUCUUGAAUUCUAUUAAUCUUCAAUCUACUUCUUCUUUUCUUUACUGUGGUGUGAAAUAAUUAAGUGUUUCUUUCCCCAUCCUUGAACCAUUCUAAUCCUGCUUUUUGUUUCCAAAAUUCUUCUUCCCUUUUUAAUUAAAUAUUUAGCUCAGCUUGUGCCUUAAAAAUAUCUUCCCUGUUACUACCAUCUGGAACCUCUUCAAACUGCUUUUCCCUAACUUUGAUCACUUCCUCUGACGUAUCUAUCUCCUGAAAAAUAAUUCCAUAAUGCUCCUUACUCUAUUUAGUUAAAACUGCUUUCACUUUUUUCAUCUUCAGAUGAAACAUGAAGAAAGGAUUCCCAAAUACUUUAGUAUGUUAAUUUUCCUUGAUUACCUUUAAACACUCUUGUUCUUUCAAUCACAUGUUAAGAAAUAAAUAUGCUCAUUAGAAGUGUUGAAAUGAAUCUUUAAAGGACAAUGAUCAGAACCACUUCUCACCAAAUACUCCACCUCUAACAAUGGAAAAAGAUUAUGUACUUUAUCAUUGCACAUAACCCUAUCCAGCCUUUUAAAAAUACAGUCCCCAUCAGUUCUUCCAUUCCACUAUGUAAAUUUACUUCUCUUAAAACCUUUGUCUUCUAAACCACACAGAUUAAUACAGUGACUAAAAUCCUCUAUUUCUGCCACUAUUACUGGUAAUCCACCUAAAUUUUCUUCGUUAUUCAUUAUUACAUUAAAAUCACCUCCUACCAGCCAUGGACUUUGCAUUGAUUGGCCAUUUCUUCCAAUGAUUCCCACAAGACCAAUUUUUCAUAUUGUGAAUAUUUAGCAAAAACUAAUGUAACCACCAUCUGAAUCUGUUGGUUAACUAGUUAAUAGUAACUGCUACUCCUCAUCCUUUAGUAUUGUGCAUUCAACAAUAUCCUCAACAAAUACCCAUAGCUUUCCUGAGUGAUUAGAUGCUGCAAACCUCAUUCCUAAUCUCUUCUUAUAUUCUUCUAUUGUAGUGUUAUCUUGGAAUGGUUCUAACAAACCAAUAAAUGAGAAAUGAUGUCUUUUCUGCAUUGUUAUAAGUCUAAUGAAUACUUUCUGAGUAUUCACUAAUCUAAUAUUUCAUAUUAGAGCAUUCAUUUAGACUUAUUCUUCAAAGAACUUUUUGUCUGCAUUGUUGAAUUAUUAGAUAUCUUUUCUUUGUGCAAUGUUGAAUUGUUCACCAUUUUAUCCUUUUUUCUUCUUAUUCCCUAUUUGAUCCUCAGAUACUCCAUUUGCUUGGGAGAUAGAUUGUUUUCUCUUCCAAUUCUAUCUAUUUCUUUACUUAAAUCUCCAUCAUCUAGAGGUAACUUCUCCUUAUUGCAAAACUCCACCUGAUUGUCCACUUGUAUUGAUAAUGGUAAAAUAUUAUUUAUCAAACUAUCAUAUGUUUCUUUCUCCUCAUACAUAACUAUCUGCAUAUUUUCUUAGUACUGCAUUAUCAUUGCUGUGAAGUUUGUUAUUGUGUAAGCUUACUUCCAAUCUCUUUUAAUUCAGAGUUAUCUAUUGUAUCACCCUCUUUUUGUUCUUUAGUAACUGUUUGUACUCCUCUUUAUUUUUCUUCCUCAUCAUUUUAUUAAUUGGUAUUAUCUUCCUUGUCCUUUGUAGUUCCAGGAAAACUAUUCAGAACCCAAUCUUUAGUGCUUUUCCCUACUUUUUCACCGUCCUUUCAUUAUCCUUGUCCUCAUUUUCUUCUGUCUGUUGUUCAUGAGAAAGAGCUUCAAAAGCAUUUGUAGUCAGAACUGAACCAUCUACUUCCUUGUCUACUUCCAGUUCACCUACUAUAUGCCUAAAUUUAUCCCUCUUAUAGUUAUUCCUCCUUGUUAACCACUGCUUGAUGAAUUUUCUUGUAUUUCUUAUACCAUAAUUUUUUUGUUUAUUCUUUUUUAUCUCCACUCUAUUGGACUGUAUCUAGCUAUUUUUUGCUACCUCCUCCUCCUGAUUUUCAUACAGUUCUGGAUGAAUAUUCCAAUAUGAUAGCUCAUCAUGGCCCUGCAGACAACAUUUUUUACCGUAUUUGGGCUUCUAAUCAUAUUGAAUAUUUAUCCAUUUACAUUUCUUCAUCCCUGUUACAUCAUCCUCUUUACAAAUUUUUACUCUUUGAGGUAGUGCAUCUAUAAGAUCCACCUCUACUUUAACUCUCCCAUAGCUUGGUCGUGUCUGAUUCUUUGUUGCUAUAUCCACUGAUAAAGGUUUUCCAACAGCUGAAGCAAUUGAAAAUAUUGUUUUUUUUGCAAAAAAAAUUAGGUGGAAGGUCAGACAUUGGUAUCCACGCUAUAACUACUGAUGUUUCCACAUCAGGUUCAAACCAAGGAUCCUGUUUAAAAGUCCUUAUUUUCCAUUGCAUCUCCUUAACCUUUAUAUAAUAUGCAGAAGUAGAUAUAAUGUUUACAUAAUCUUCCAUAAUACUUAACCUAAUAAGAAUAUGCCUUGAAUCCAAUACCCUAUAUUGCAAUCACCUUUAAUAUCACACUGACUAGGAAUAGUUCUCCGCAGCUCACUAAUGCCAGGUUUACCAUAAGAAAACUAACCAAUAACUACAUAUUGAAGACUUUCUUAAAUUAUUAAAUUAUUAAUCUCUGAUGAUUUUCACGUAAUAUGUGGUUCUCCUUCAAUUAUUUGGAUAGAUUUUGGCAAUAUUUUGUGCUUACUAAUGUCCACCACUCGUGGUUUCAAUACAUUAGCAUAACUAGGUUUCAAAUUCCCUUCCCCUGUAUGAUUAUUGCUUUUAUCAUUCUUUGCAUACAUGAGAUUUACCGGUGGGAGAGACCCACCGGACGUUAAGGCCAUGGUGAACAAGUUCAAAAUUAUUAGGGUUUCGCUAGAGAAAGAGAAAAAUUAGGGUUUUGCCAAGUUCUAAAAAGUAAACUAUAUCAUCUUUUGGAUUGAAAGAAAUUAAAUAGCUGAAAUAAAUUUGUGCAUUUUGAAUAAAAAUUUGGGUUUCUUUACUGAUGUGACAACAUAUGAUUGGUGGAUAUAGUGUGGGUUGGAUUGAUGAGGUGGGUGUGAGGAUUGGACUAGGUUUUGAACCAACUUUUGGGCCUCUUUGAUAUGAAAUGGGUGAAUAACAUUGGGUUUGAAUGAAUAAAAUUGAAAUUGAAUUAUUUUUUAUUCAAAUACUCUUUUUCUCACUAAAAUUAAUUUUAUCAAUGCUUCUUAUUGUCCUAAAUAAUUUUUAGUAUAUACGCAUAUAAAUUUAAUAUACGCAUUUAAUUUUAAUAAUUUUAUAUUCAAAUAUGUAUACAUAAAUAAUAAUAAUAAUAAUAAUAAUAAGAAUAAGAAGAAGAAGAAGAAGAAUAAGAAUAAUAUAGUAUGAAAAUACAAUUAGAAGAAAAAUCUGAAUGCAAGUAUCAAAAAAUAUUUUGUGUGACUUUUUGAUAUUAAAUAACUAAUUAUAUUUAAUUAAAAUACUUUAUAAUAUGAUAGAAAAAAUUAAACCAGCUCUUUUUUUAUUUUUAUUUUUUCAAAAAUUUAUAGAAACUAAAAUAUGAAUUUUAGUUUAGAAAAUUAUUUAGGGCUAAAAAGCAUAGAAAAAUAACUAUAAGGAAAUAAGGUGAGCCAAAAUUGAGUGUCAACAGCUGCCCCUAAUUAACUGAAGAUGAUGUAAGAAUCUUUGGACAAUCAAGUUGACGUAGCUAAUUUUGUCUUGGGAGAAAAUGAUGGUUUGGAAGAUUAUGACUGAGCUUCAAUUUCCGAGUCGCCUACAUAUCUCGUGUUUCAUGAGAAAUCAGGUCAUUUGUAGUUCCUUAAGUGGUUUGGUUGGUGGGGGUAUAGUCGAGCUCUGAUUUUUGAGUUGCCUACAUAUCUUGGACUUUAUGAGAAUAUCAGGUCAUAUGUAGUUCAGAAAGGUGAAGAUACAAUAAAUUUUGAUGGAAUCUCAAAAUUUGCCCCAGUGUUAAAUUUUCAUGCCACUGAUUUCUUUUAUAGUUAAAAAAAAUUGGCACAGAUAGAGUGAGUAUGGACAUACUCAAAUUUAAGCUUCUUACAUAUCCAAGAAUUCGGCUAGAUAUAGUUCUCAAAUAUGGCUUUGAAGGAAAAUACUUCUAAAGAAAUUUCAAAGAAGGGUUUUUUUGGGGAGGAGGGGGAGGGGAAAUAAUCUUAGAAUUUUAAGAAUUGCCCAAAUGUUGAGUUGUGAUGACACUGGGUAUAAAAGAGUUUUGAUAUGCAAAAUUAAAUCUGAACAUGUGAGAAUUGAGUCGAGUUGAGUUUCGAGAAUAAAUACUUGUCAUAUCUAAGGAUGCUUGACAUUUCUCUAGUUUGCGCUAAUUUUCUACUUAGAGGGUAGUUUCAUGUUGUAAUGUGUCAUCUUACAAAAUAGAUAAAAGGGCUGACAAAGUAUCUGUUGCAGUUCAAAAUGGAAAAUAAAAAUUGUAAUGUAAAGAGUAGAGUGUAGAUAUUCAAACAAAUGUUGACGUUUCUGUCAUGAGAAGUGAAUGUAUUGUAGGUAUUGACUGGCGAUGUAUCUUACACUGUAGAGGUUUUGACCAGGGGUGAUUGCUGACAAUGUGAAGUCCUCCAUUUGGCGAGACAAUUUGUUGGAGAAGUGAAAUUUGUGUUGUAUGCCUAUUUUUUGGGAUGGACCUUCCCUGUCCUAUCGUUUAGGGUGGACUUGCCCUAACCUAUUAUUUAAGGCGGACUUCCUCUGUCCUAUUAUUUGAGGCAGACUUUCCUUGUCCUAUUUUUUGAGGCAGACUACCCCUAUCCUACUAUUUGGAGCAGACUACCCUAUUUUAUUAUUUGGGGCGUACUUGUCAUAUCCGAUUAUUAGUGUGGACUUCCCAUAUCCUAUUAUUUGGGGUAAACUUGCUCUGUCCUAUCGUUCAGGAUGGACUUUCCUACAUUUAUUAUGCUAGAGUUUUGUGAACAAUGGUUAGUACUUGAUGUCUGAGGCUUGACGAGGAUAUCCUUUUAAUGUGACCUGUAAUAAAGUAAUAGCAAAGGAAUUGACAAAACCUGGCCUCCUAGAUUAUGACAGCAACGUGGUACUGAGAUGGAGUGUUAUGAUAUACUUAAUAUGUGCCUCCUUGAGCAUUAUCAUGACCUGCAAGAUUCGAGAGACUUCUUUGACUCUUGAAAUAAUUAUGUAUAAAUUGAUGAUACUUGGUUGCUCAGGUCGCGAUGGCGAGGCAUCAUUUUGGGCUUCCAAGCUUUUGAAUUUUUGUCAUAGCUUCAUUGUUCCUACUCUCAAAGAAAGUUUCUUGGUUUGGAAAGGGGUGUUGAUUUUGUGUUGAUCGAGAACUAAGCCUAGUAGUUAUUUCUUUCUUCAAUUUUUUGGCAAUUGGCAAAUCAAUUUGUCAAUUUGGGAUAUAGACUAGUGAGGCUUCCUAAUUCUUAUUGGUAUAUCUUUGGUGGUGACUUUCUCUAUCUUGAUCUUUACUCUCGGGCUUCUGUCAAAGUGACACAAUUGAUGUAGCUUAAGAUUAUUUAUAAAAGGAUAGAAAAAACAUAUUGUUGAUAUGAUCGGGCCUAACUCAAGCUGCUUGGAUAUGACCGGUCCUAACUCAGGUUGCGUUGAUAUGACCGAGCCUGUCUCAGGCUGCCUAUAUGUCCUAGAAUAGGAAUAAGGUCCAAACGUAGUUCCACGUAAAAAGAAUCAAGAAAAUUUAGCCAUAUGGUUGAGUGGGUGGAGAAAGGUAAAGUUGAUAACUAUGAUGAUCCUGCCUUCAGAGACUCGUUUGGUCAUUUUCUGAAGUGAUGUCUCUUAUAUAAAAGUCAUCAACAUCCUAUCUCUUUUUCCUUGCAGCUUGUGAUUAGCAUUAAACCAUUUCUUAAUUCGAUUGAUGAUUUUGUAAGUUGUUAGAGUCAAGUGUUGAGAUUCAUAUCUCAAUGUCUGUUCCUUCGUGGCACAGUUUUGAACGUGAGAGUAGUCUACGCAUUGUGUAAACUAUUUUUAUAUCUAGUCUUGAUAACUCAAAAUUUGGUGGAAGCAAGAGGCUUUGGUGUAUGCAUGAGUCUUCCUUGUGUAAACUUUAAAUAUUUCUUGGGCGCCUCUUUGACAUUCUUCUUAUCUUGUGGGCGUCUUCAUAUAUGAACUCUUUUUGGAUCCACUAUGCAAUCGUAUCACUAGAAAAUAUGGAUAUUGUUUCAUGAUUGAUGUAUUAGUAAUAGUCCAAGCUUGAAUGCUUUUUGAGCAUAUCUCUUUUUUGGAAACCCUUCUUGGAAUUAUAGGUAUAGAUUAUCAUUUCUUGUUUUACGCUUUUUUUCCAAUCCUUUCAUAGGCAUGUGCCACCUGAAGGUUUGGUUGACCCUCUAUGACUAAUGUAAUGAGUGUAGUUGAUUCUGUACUAAUCGCCGAUUUGAUUUGGAAGAGUCUGGAUCGAUAGUAUGUUUAAAUAGUAGUUGUAAAGAAAAUCCUUGUGUUAAGUGGUAGGAGUAUCUUGAGUAUUGACCUUCGGUGAACUUCUUCCAAUAUUAUAGAGAAGUUGUUCCCCAUUGAUACCUUGCAUCUUUAGUGAUAAUUUGCAUUAUUUGGUGAGAAUCAACCUUGAUUGUAACACUUUCAAGUUAAACAUCCUAGUCUUCAGUCGAAUUGGACCUUUUCUUCAUUAACUUUUGGAGCGUUCUCCAAAAAAUUACCCCAAUCUCUCGAAGAACUUUCUUGAUGAUUUUUUGUUGCAUAUCUAAGGACAUCCUUAAUUAAAGGUAGGGGGUCUUCUAGAUCUGAUCGUUUUAGGCUCCAAUUUCCUCUUGUCGUUGGGGGAAGAUGGAAUUUUGUAUUAUAAAGGGACUGAGCCUUAUGUAGGCUGUAUACGUAUCUCAACAAAAGAAAUCAAGUUGCAUAUAGUUUCGAUUACAUAAGGGGAAAUGAUUCUACUUAAUUACGACCAAACUCGAUGAGGGUUGCCUACGUAUCUCACCAUAAGAAAUUAGGUUAUAACAUAGUUCUAUAACAUGACAAUUAGAUGGAAUCCUAUUUUGGAAAUGACUUCAAAUAUAGGACUUUAUCGACUACUUUUGAGCUGAUCAACUUUGAAAUUUAUCUUUGUCUAUCUCUACUAAAAUGAGCACACCUUUAUAUAGUGCCUCAUAAAAGAGGCUAUAUCGGUCUGGUGGGGAUGAUUGUCUCUUAUGCCAUGUACACUCCCUAUUUUUAUGAUUGGGCAAUGGAUCGUUAUUUGUAUUUGGUUGCACUACGACUAAUAGAAUUGCCUCAGCCUUGAUCAAACACUCAAUUCUAAUCCUUAACCUAUUACAAUCUUAGUAUCAUGGCCCUGAACUCUAGAGUGGAAAGUACAUUGCUUUCAUCAAACCAUCUAGGUAGUGGGUUAGGAAUCUUCCUUUGCUCAAGUUGCAAUAAAUUUAUAGCCCUCAAUCUCUCAAACAAAUGUGUGAAUGGUUCAACAAAUUUAGUGCAACUUUGAUUGUACUUACCUUUUGGAUUUUAUCUUAGCGUAAAAGAUGUUUAAUUUUAGUCAAGUGAAACUUGGAUUGGUACGCAUAGUUUUGGUGGAUUUUGGUACAUGGGAGCUCGAGGUUGAAGGUGAUUUGGUUAGAUAUUGUGGGCAUUAUGUAGCCUAUAAUUCGAUAUUUUCCUCAGUUUAUUAUCAAGAUUAUGAAGUGAUUGAGGCGAUUCAGGUAUUGAGUGGUGCGGUAUCACAAUAGAUACUUCUUCUUUAUUCUCAGCGUUAUCCCUCCGGUGGACUCCAACUAAGUAGAUUUUCCCAAAUUAUUUGUUGGAUUAAUCUUUCCAAACUUAAUUGUCUCUUCUACAAAAUUCCCUAUUUGGACGCAGUCGACAAUCCUUUGCCCUAACGUGGACAUUAUCCAUUUGAAAUAGACCUCUUCUUGACUGUAGAUAAAAUACUUUAUCAAUUCAUUUUUGUCCAUUAGUGGUUGGCUUUUUCCUGCCUCAGACCUCCAUCGUCGAGAUUAUUCCUAGAAUGAUUCAAAGGGCUUCUUUGGUAUACUAAUGAUGAAAAGUCGAUCAGGUGUCAUUUUUGUGUUAAACUUAAAAUGAUUCAUAAAGUCUUCAGUUAUGUCGCUCUAUUUACGCCAAUGACGAGGGUCUUAUUUGGCAUACCAAGCGAGAGACUCAUCAGAUAGACUUUUAAUGAACAACUUCAUUAUGAGCUUCUUGUUUUUGCGGAUUGUAUAAUAGAAUUCUCUUACUUUCUCUUCAAAAACCAUGGGAGUUGGUUCCUCGAGGAGGUGAAGCCAUCCCUGGUGUUUGACACGUUCCACCAACUCAACCAUGCAAGGUUACUCAUAAAUUCUGGGGUCAAACACUCUCCCAGACAAUACUUACUGAGUUUUCAAAUUUUCAUUCCUAUCCUCUCUAGACCCAUCCUUCUUUUCUUCCUCCUUUAUUCUUCGUUUAGAGUGGUUGCUUAAUUUUUUUUCAACAGUUUUUCUCUUCUUGGGACCAGGUCCCUCAUAGACUUUCUUCUUUUUCACAGUAAUAUAUUUCUUUUUGCUUCCUGCAGGACUACCAGAUUUUGAGUGGCAAGACCUGGUCCUUCCUAAAACAUGAAUUUCCUUUCUUCUUUUCUCCGUUGCUACAGAAACAUCAGGAUCAAUAUUCUGAUCCUCUCUAACUUCUACAACUUCAACAUUCUCCUCCUCCACUACAUCAGUUUUUUUUAGUCUUCUUCUCUUAGUAGUAGAAAACUUUAUGGCCUUCGUAGCAUCAACUAAUAACUUCUUUUCAAACCCUCUAGUAGAAUACGAUCUCGCAUCUUUUAUACCAGAAUCAACAACUUUUUCUUUCCCUUUGCUUGCUCUUUAUUUAUUCAUACACCACCUCAAAGAUGGUUCAUCCUCAUCCUCCUCAUUUGGCGGUAGCACAAUCACUUCAUACUUAGUCACAUCAUCUUUUUUCCAACCUGGUUGCUCUUCAGCACUAACUGAACUUUUUGUAGGAUCAUAUGCAAGCAACAGUAAAUUUCAGCUACCUAAUUUUCACUACUAGAAAAAUCAAACCUCUUCACUACUAUUUAUUUGUCACACAGUUGGGGAAAAUGGGGUUUGACUCAGAAAGAGUAGAGGAAUCAUGUACUUGUAGAGUUUUUAAGAGUUCUGUAUUUCUAGUUCUUCAGAAGAAAUGAAGAUUUGAGAGUCUUCAGGUAAUUUUGGUUCUUCUGAGAAAGGAGGAAUUUUGGAUUGAGAAAUUUCUUGUUCAAUCGAUGAACCCAAACCUUGAUUUAGAUCCUCUACCAUGGUUAAUUCAAUAGAGACUUCGAUGGUUGAGAAAGUUUUGAUAGGGACAGACUCAGUUAGGGGUUCUGGAAUUUCUAACGAAGAUUCAGUGGGUAGCAUUAACACAGGCUCUUGUUGAGUACUUAAGGAGACGUCUUCAAUGGUUUUGAAUGUUAAAAGAUCAGAAAGUUCCAUUUAGGGUUUUUAGAUUGAGUUUCCGUGGCUUUAUCGACUACUGGAUCUUUAAAGGGGGUUGAGGAAGUAGAAAUGUCUGCCAUUUCAAGUAUUUGUGAGAGAAAGAGAAUGGGACCAGUUCGAUUUUGAGAUGAUGGACGAUUGAGGAAGAUGACUUGAAUUUAUUUGAAGAAGAAUGAAAAUAAAAGGGUUGUUGUUGCUAUUUUAGAAUAAACAAUUUCUAAGCGAUUCUAAAGAGAGAAUAAUUUGAGCAAUCUUUGAGCUAGUUGUUGUUUUGUGGGUGAAGAGACACUAAUUUUCUGAGCUAUUUUGUGGGUGAAGAAAGGGCAAUUUCUGAUCAUCAUUGUUGUUUUGUGGUAAAGAGAGAGUAAAGUGUUUUGGGGUGAAGAGAGAGUGAGUGAUUUCUAACAGUGAAGUGUUUUGGGUAGCGGUAUAGUGAAAAUUAGGAGAAAAAUAACAAGGAAAUUAUUUAACCGUAGUAAUAGAAAAACAGUUGUUGCCAAAAACAGUCAAUUGCAACGAGUUAAAAUAAUUGUUGCUUUACAAGGUCAAUGGCAACGGGCAUUACAUAGUUGCAAC